rnacentral:rRNA from 1 species
CAGUCGCCACGGGAAUACGUAGGGUGCAAGCGUUAACCGGAAUUACUGGGCGUAAAGCGUGCGCAGGCGGUUUUGUAAGCCUGUCGUGAAAUCCCCGGGCUCAACCUGGGAAUGGCGAUGGAGACUGCAAGGCUAGAGUACGGUAGAGGGGGAUGGAAUUCCGCGUGUAGCAGUGAAAUGCGUAGAUAUGCGGAGGAACACCGAUGGCGAAGGCAAUCCCCUGGACCUGUACUGUCGCUCAUGCACGAAAGCGUGGGGAGCAAACAGGAUUAGAUACCCGCGUAGUCCCUGUCUCUUAUAC